CUGAAAGGAACAUGGGGUCACUGUGAUCUCAACGAUAUUUUUCCUUAAUGAAGAAAGAAAAUUUGUUGAAAACUUGUCAGUCUUAAUAAACGAGUGAAAAGGACGGCUGUAGGUUGAGCCUAGUAGCUGCUACCAGAUCUGACAUUUUGGAUUUAUUUGGUCACGGAAAUUUUAUUUUUGUUAGGGAAAAGUCGGAAUUUUGAAAAGUGAUGUCUGUGGCAACCAUGAUUGAGAAAUGUUUUAAGUCUUUGGGUGUAAUAUUGAUGGAGAGAUUGGUUUUCAGGAACUCCAUUCUUCGGAAACUUUAGAGAUUAUAAAAUGCCGUACUAAAGUGGAAAUGAUAUAACAGCAUUAAAUAACUAUAGUUUGUGACAAGUGAAAGUUACACAAUAUUAGCGUUAGGACUGAGCCCUAGUUGCAAUUAGUAGAAAUUAUUAUCAGCAACAAGCAUGAAUUUUUAUCAGCAAAGUUGCAAGCCAUAAAGCAUAAGCAAUAUUCGUUAAAUGCAAUUUAACUAUUGCUUUAGCAGCAGACAAAAAUUUGAAAAAAGUUGCAGAUUUCCAAGUUAACUUUCAGUGUCUGAUGUCAAAGGCAUUUCUGUCCAUGCGAUGUACAUUGCAAACUGAAGGUAAAGUAUUGUAUGUUCUUAAGAUCUGUAAGCUGGUAUGUAAGGAUACAUCUGUGAAGCGCAUAUUGCGAAAAAAACAAAGAACUCAUUCAGCAAAGCUUGACCUGAUUUUGUAAUAGUAUUUUUUUUAUCUCAGCUAUCUCUUACUUAAAACUUUCCUUUAAUACUCCAGGUUUAGUCAACAAAAAAUGUUUGAUAAAAUGGAAAGCUGAUAGCUGUUUUAGGAAAAAUAUAUGGAGAUCAUUGCCCCUUUCCUGCUAUUAUCGUUUAUCCUCAUUUUAAUAUUCCUCUUAAAUUUUUAAGAGUACAACUUGUGGAGGCACAGCAGCCUCGUAGUUAGUGCACUCACCUCCAGGUCGAGCAGUCUGGGUUUGAGCCCUGGCUGAGGACAUUGUGUUGUGCCCUUGGGCAAGACACUUUACUCUCACAGUGCCUUUCUCCACCCAGGUGUAAAAGUGGGUACCAGCAAACUUAAUGCUGGGGGUAAUCCUGGAAUGGACUAGGAACCCAUCCAAGCGGGGUGGGGGGGNGAGAAGAAAUACUUGUAGACACUUCAUGCCACAGAAUGCCACAGAAACUAGAGAUAAUUUCCAGGCUGAUGGGCCCCUUUUCUCGUGUGCAGACUUAAUCUUACCUUUUACAACUUAGGAAGAACUGUAAAGUUGUUUUCGAAAACUAAUCACCCAGGUUAUCUUAAGUUGUAAAAUUUUUUCGUCCUUUCAUGAAAAGAAUCUUCUACUGCAAUUUCAGUAAGGGCAUUUUCCGUAACAAGCCAGUUCUUAUCGGUCAAAACAAAGGUAGUAAGAAUAUUACUUGUUGUUGACUUCAGAACUUUGCAAAUUCUUGAGUUGUGAGCUGCACAGUUCACUUUGGUUGUUUUCUUACUAAGUGCAUUGUAUUGUGGGGUACAUAAGUAACAUAUUAAUUUUGUUAUGCCAGUUUAUGAAGCAUUUUUCCUUCUGAAAAAGUCAGUCUCAACUUGUUUUGUCAAUUUAAGUUGCAUUUAAGUCGUUAGCUAAUUUUGUUUGAAGUGAUACCUGUUUCCUGUGGUGAGCUUGUACAUACUACAACAUUAGUUACUACCAGUGGAACACGAGGACAUGUUUAACACAAUUGUUCAUGGUGAAUUGGUUUUGAUAAAAUGGAACCCCUGAGUUGUUGCAUCUGUAUGGAGCCAGGGUGGAAAGAGCUUGGAGCACAUGGCCUUAGAACUAUGCAGAAGCUAUUUACUUCUAUUUUAUAGUACUACAGUGUUCUGUGCAUGUGAAAAUACUAGCAAUUGAAAUGGAUAUCAUCAAGAAGAAAAUACCGAUUUAACAAAUAAAACCUAGCAUUCUAGUUUUGCAUUACUUUUUUUUAAUCUCCACCAUUUAUUACAAGUUACUCAGAUUAUAUUAAAUAUGUUUUUCCUCUUUCUAGAUCUCUGUUGAUAUAUAUAUUUUUUAUUUUGCUGUUAGUUUCCAUUUGAUUUGUGGAUUCAAAAUCUCAGGCCUGGUUCAAAAACCACUUUGCUGUCAACCCAGUUCUGUCGAUUUAGUUGACAUACUUGUUGACCCUGAUUCAAAUGGAUUUCUUUUGCUGCAUUUAGUUUGGUUUUGGUGCAAGAGCAGAAUGGUGGUUGAACUUGGCAUGAGAAGUGUGGGAGCAACAUUGACAUCUCAUAUAAUUCUGGCACUCUUCACAUUUUGAAAUCAUCUGUUGCUGUUUUUUUUUUUUUUUUUUAUUUUUUCUUUUUAACAGCUCCGUGUGGUUACCUGUGGAAUGUAACAAUAUAUAAGAGCUAGCGGUAUCGAGAGAUUCCUGCAGAUAUCUUGAGUUCCUUGUCCAUCAUCGUGCUGCUCAUUUCGUAGGAGAAAGUUGACUGAUCUCAACCUUUCAAGCACAAGAUAAGCACAUUGGUUAUUUCUUUGGAAACAUUCUCUAAUUGCUUUUUCAAUUCCCAUAAGACUCAUUGAACUAAGUAUCGGAAAAGUGAGUUCAAAGGCUCAGAGAGAAUUGUUGAUGAUUGUUUUUUUUUUUAUUUAACUUAUCCACUGUAAGCUAUAAAUAAUCGAAAAUCUCUAACCUUAAAGAAAAUAAUUACCUUGCUUUUAGAAAAGGGAACUCGUAAAUGGACAAACCAUAAGUUAACAUGCAUCAUAUGGCCUUGAAAUCAGCCGAGAUUUAUGUUAAAGUAAAAAGUUCCUCAAACCGCAUUUUAUAUUAUUUGCUUAGCAAGCAGAAAUUGUCUGUAGUGAAUAUCGUGUUGAUGUACUUAAAUCGAAUAGUAGCUUGUUGAGGAGCUGUAUGUAACUAGUAUUCACUGUUGACUAUUCAAUAGGGGAAUCGUUGCUUUGCCUAAUUGGUCAAAAAGGGGAAAUAACUUUGAUACCGGCCGGUAGCGCGCGAAUCGCGUCAACAGUUUAUGAUGUUAAAGAGUUUAUCUUACGCGUACUUAAAUCUUUCUCGACACAAACACACCAGACAUUCAGUCCUCUAGGUUGACAUGCAGACCUAACCUCUUUAUUUCAUGCUUUGUUAAAUCCGGAGAUGUUGAAGAGUGAAUUUAUUUUCAAACUUGGAAGUGUGACAAUUUUUUUUCUU